UAAAAGGGUCAAUGUAUUUUUAUACAAAUAACAUUUGAAACGUAAAAAUUUUAAAUGAUAUUCGGAAUCGUCAUCAAGAGAUUUCGUUGAUAUAAUUUUUGGUAUCACCGGGCGGGUUAUAUCCUUAGAUUAAUCCGUCCUU
rnacentral:snRNA from 1 species